AGCGGCGGACGGGUUAGUAACGCGUGGGAACGUGCCCUUCUCUGCGGAAUAGCCACUGGAAACGGUGAGUAAUACCGCAUACGCCCUUCGGGGGAAAGAUUUAUCGGAGAAGGAUCGGCCCGCGUUAGAUUAGAUAGUUGGUGGGGUAACGGCCUACCAAGUCUACGAUCUAUAGCUGGUUUUAGAGGAUGAUCAGCAACACUGGGACUGAGACACGGCCCAGACUCCUACGGGAGGCAGCAGUGGGGAAUCUUAGACAAUGGGCGCAAGCCUGAUCUAGCCAUGCCGCGUGUGUGAUGAAGGUCUUAGGAUCGUAAAGCACUUUCGCCAGGGAUGAUAAUGACAGUACCUGGUAAAGAAACCCCGGCUAACUCCGUGCCAGCAGCCGCGGUAAUACGGAGGGGGUUAGCGUUGUUCGGAAUUACUGGGCGUAAAGCGCGCGUAGGCGGAUUGGAAAGUUGGGGGUGAAAUCCCGGGGCUCAACCCCGGAACUGCCUCCAAAACUAUCAGUCUAGAGUUCGAGAGAGGUGAGUGGAAUUCCAAGUGUAGAGGUGAAAUUCGUANAUAUUUGGAGGAACACCAGUGGCGAA
rnacentral:rRNA from 1 species